CAACGCACUCGUGGAACUCAAUCUCGACAAAAACAUCACCAUCACAGCGGCGCACUAGCUUGCCGUGCUCGAGACGUCGUAUCCGCCAUUGGCCGGAGCUUUCUGGCGAGAUCUGAGAGGAUUCAUCACUCCGAUUUUGGAUUUCCAGCCAAAUGCGCCGGAGAAGACGACGGGACGGCGCAGGAGAAGAGGCCAGGAGUCGCCAGAGAAGAGGGGGUGAGUUUGGGCGGUGGAAAUUUGGGUCAGUCGUGGCUGGGGAGAGAAGCUCAUGUGUCCCCGCUGGUCUUACUCCUGAGUUCAAUCGGGUUCUUGGCCUAACGGCUCAUGAGGCGAUGGCGGCGGUUGGUGGUUCUGGUGGGACCUUCUGGCUGGCUGGUGGUGGGGCGGUGUUGCGGCGGUGGGCAGCGACUGUGGGGCUUGGACUGAUUUGGUGGGCGGCGGCAGUGGUGUGUUUAGGGUUUGUUGUAGGUUUUUUGGGCUUUACUAGUUGGGCUUGUCCCAUGUUAUUUGGGCUUUUAGGCCUCUUGGGUGUUUGGACUGCGUCCCACUUGUUUUAACUGUUUUAUCCGGGCUUUUAGGCCUUUGGGUGUUGGGACUUUGUUCCCUUUGGAUGUUGCUUUGGUUGGUAUCUUGCCAAUCAAGGGUUUGGAUCUCGGAUUGGACUUUUCGUUCUCUCCUUGUCCUAUUAAUCUUUGUAUCUCCUUCAAAGGUUAAUAAAAAAAUUUCGCCGUUCAAAA